AUACGGAGGAUGCAAGUGUUAUCCGGAUUCAUUGGGUUUAAAGGGUGCGCAGGCGGGGAUGUAAGUCAGUGGUGAAAAGCUGCCGCUUAACGGUAGUCUUGCCAUUGAUACUGCGUUUCUUGAGUAUGGUUAAGGUAGGCGGAAUGUGCAGUGUAGCGGUGAAAUGCAUAGAGAUUGCACAGAACGCCGAUUGCGAAGGCAGCUUACUGAGCCAUAACUGACGCUGAGGCACGAAAGCGUGGGGAGCGAACAGGAUUAGAUACCCUGGUAGUCCACGCUGUAAACGAUGUUCACUCGCUGUUUGCGAUAUACAGUAAGCGGCUUAGUGAAAGCAUUAAGUGAACCACCUGGGGAGUACGAUCGCAAGGUUGAA
rnacentral:rRNA from 1 species